AUUGAACGCUGGCGGCGUGCCUUACACAUGCAAGUCGAACGUGAAAGUUCCUUCGGGAAUGAGUAAAGUGGCGCACGGGUGAGUAACGCGUGGAUAAUCUACCGAGAAGUUGGGAAUAACGUUUGGAAACGAACGCUAAUACCGAAUACGCAACUUGUAUAUAUUUAUAUGUUGGAAAGGAGACCUCUUUACAAUGUUUCUGCUUUUUGAUGAGUCCGCGUACCAUUAGCUAGAUGGUGGGGUAAAAGCCUACCAUGGCGACGAUGGUUAACUGGUCUGAGAGGAUGAUCAGUCACACUGGAACUGGAACACGGUCCAGACUCCUACGGGAGGCAGCAGUGGGGAAUAUUGCGCAAUGGGCGAAAGCCUGACGCAGCGACGCCGCGUGAGGGAUGAAGGUUUUCGGAUCGUAAACCUCUGUCAAUGGGGAAGAAGUUGUACGGUGCUAAUCAGCCGUAUAUUGACGGUACCCAUAAAGGAGGGACCGGCUAACUCCGUGCCAGCAGCCGCGGUAAUACGGAGGGUCCGAGCGUUAAUCGGAAUUACUGGGCGUAAAGCGCUCGUAGGCGGUAUGGCAAGUCAAGGGUGAAAUCCCCGCGCUCAACGUGGGAACUGCCUUUGAAACUGCUGCACUUGAGUGUGUGAGAGGAUAGUGGAAUUUCUAGUGUAGAGUGAAAUCCGUAGAUAUUAGAAGGAACAUCAGUGGCGAAGGCGACUAUCUGGCACAUAACUGACGCUGAGGAGCGAAAGCGUGGGUAGCAAACAGGAUUAGAUACCCUGGUAAUCCACGCCGUAAACCGAUGGAUACUAGGUGCAGGGGCUUAAUGUUUCUGUGCCGUAGCUACGCCAUUAAAUAUCCCCGCCUGGGGGAUACGGUCCCAAGGCUGAACUCAAAAAAUUGACGGGGGCCCCCACAACGGGGGAAUAGUGGUUUAUUUCGAUGCACGCGAAAAAACUUACC
rnacentral:rRNA from 1 species